GGGCGGUUAGCUCAGUUGGGAGAGCGCCAGAAUCGCACUCUGGAGGUCGGGGGUUCAAGUCCCCUACCGUCCAUCA
rnacentral:tRNA from 1 species